GAGUCAAUGAUGAGAUGUUAUCUUGAAGAGAAAUGAUGAUGCAAAAAUCAAGCUCAAGUGGAUUAUACUGAAGCCC
rnacentral:snoRNA from 1 species